AAGUCGUAACAAGGUCUCCGUUGGUGAACCAGCGGAGGGAUCAUUACUGAGUUACCGCUCUACAACCCUUUGUGAACAUACCUAACCGUUGCUUCGGCGGGCAGGGGAAGCCCUUCGCGGGCGAACCCUCCCGGCGCCGGCCCCAUCACGGGGGCGGAGCGCCCGCCGGAGGAAAUCAAACUCUAUUUACACGACGUCUCUUCUGAGUGGCACAAGCAAAUAAUUAAAACUUUUAACAACGGAUCUCUUGGUUCUG
rnacentral:misc_RNA from 1 species